rnacentral:rRNA from 1 species
GAUGAACGCUGGCGGCGUGCCUAAUACAUGCAAGUCGAGCGAACAGACGAGGAGCUUGCUCCUCGGACGUUAGCGGCGGACGGGUGAGUAACACGUGGAUAACCUACCUAUAAGACUGGGAUAACUUCGAGCAACCGGAGCUAAUACCGGAUAAUAUAUUGAACAACAUGGUUCAAUAGUUAAAUACGGUUUUGCUGUCACUUAUAGCUGGAUCCGCGCCGCAUUAGCUAGUUGGUAAGAUAACGGCUUACCAAGCCGACGAUGCGGAGCCGAGCUGAGAGGGUGAUCAGCCACGCUGGAACUGAGAAAUGGACUCGUCGUCCAUGGGAGGUCGAAGUAGGGAAUCCUCCGCAACGGGCGAAAGGCGGACGGAGCAACGUCGCCUCAGUGAUGAGGGUCUUCGGAUCGUAAAACUCUGCUAUUAGGGAAGAACAAAUGUGUAAGUAACUAUGCACGUCUUGACGGUACCUAAUCAGAAAGCCACGGCUAACUACGUG